rnacentral:rRNA from 1 species
GAUGAACGCUGGCGGCGUGCCUAAUACAUGCAAGUCGAGCGAACAGAUGAGGAGCUUGCUCCUCUGACUUUAGCGGCGGACGGGUGAGUAACACGUGGAUAACCUACCUAUAAGACUGGGACAACUUCGGGAAACCGGAGCUAAUACCGGAUAAUAUAUUGAACCGCAUGGUUCACUAGUGAAAGACGGUUUUGCUGUUACUUCUAGAUGGAUCCGCGCCGCAUUAGCUAGUUGGUAAGGUAAGGGCUUACCAAGGCAACGUUGCGUAGCCGACCUGAGAGGGUGAUCGGCCCCACUGUAACUUAGACACGGCCCAGACUCCGACGGGAGGCAGCAGUAGGGAAUCUUCCGAAAUGGGCGAAAGCCUGACGGAGCAACGCCGCGUGAGUGAUGAAGGUCUUCGGAUCGUAAAACUCUGUUAUUAGGGAAGAACAAAUGUGUAAGUAACUAUGCACGUCUUGACGGUACCUAAUCAGAAAGCCACGGCUAACUACGUG